GACGAACGCUGGCGGCGUGCUUAACACAUGCAAGUCGAACGGAAAGGCCCUGCUUUUGUGGGGUGCUCGAGUGGCGAACGGGUGAGUAACACGUGAGUAACCUGCCCUUGACUUUGGGAUAACUUCAGGAAACUGGGGCUAAUACCGGAUAGGAGCUCCUGCUGCAUGGUGGGGGUUGGAAAGUUUCGGCGGUUGGGGAUGGACUCGCGGCUUAUCAGCUUGUUGGUGGGGUAGUGGCUUACCAAGGCUUUGACGGGUAGCCGGCCUGAGAGGGUGACCGGCCACAUUGGGACUGAGAUACGGCCCAGACUCCUACGGGAGGCAGCAGUGGGGAUAUUGCACAAUGGGCGGAAGCCUAAUGCAGCAACGCCGCGUGCGGGAUGACGGCCUUCGGGUUGUAAACCGCUUUCGCCUGUGACGAAGCGUGAGUGACGGUAAUGGGUAAAGAAGCACCGGCUAACUACGUG
rnacentral:rRNA from 1 species